rnacentral:lncRNA from 1 species
GCGGCGACGGUGAACUGCGCCGACAACACAGGAGCGAAGAAUCUGUACAUCAUUUCAGUGAAAGGAAUUAAGGGCCGCCUUAACCGUUUGCCAUCGGCUUGCGUUGGAGACAUGGUUAUGGCAACUGUGAAGAAAGGGAAGCCAGAUCUUAGGAAGAAGGUGAUGCCAGCUGUCAUUGUUAGGCAGCGCAAGCCCUGGCGUAGAAAGGAUGGUGUAUACAUGUAUUUUGAAGGUUUGCUUCACUUUCUUAUGCAAUUUAGUUAGUUGUUGUUCGUUUUAUUUGCUUAUUUGCUUGAUUUUAGAUACAGUUUGUUUGUGUUCGAUAGAUUCUGUAUUUUAAAUGGAAUGAGGAUAGAGAAUAUUGUAGAGAUUGAGAAUCCUCUCACUGUAUUUGUUCUUAUGAAUUAAUUUUGUAGUAUCAGUUGCUUCUUUAAUAAUAGAGUGGCCAUUGAACAAUUAUUAGUCACUUUUAAAUCUGGAGCAUAUAUAAAGUGAAUGCCAGUUUUAAACAGCAUAAUUUGCUUCCUCAGAAUUGUGCUACCUGUCUCCUGGUAAAUUUCUUUCCUGUAUGCUAGUUGUUCUGUUGUACCCAUGUUCUCGGCAAGUUAACUAUCCUUGACUUUGUUUUCUAAUGUGCCAUGUUUAAUGAUUCAAUGGAUUGGUACUUUUUUUGGCCCUUAUUGGCAUUUUUUCUUCAAAUCCAUUAGUCAUCUUGCUUUCAGAUUUUGUACAUAAUUAUUCUUGCUGGUAUGAAUUGCAUGUUUAAUUUUGUGAUGUUCCUUUUGUUGGGUAAUUUUCCUUUUACUUUGUUUGGCUUUUUAAAAUUUAUAGUUUCUAAUAGUGGCUUGUUUUUUCUGCAGAUAAUGCUGGUGUGAUUGUGAAUCCCAAGGGAGAAAUGAAAGGUAAUGAAUUUUCUGAAUCAUGAUAAUUUGAGGCAUGGAGUUUUGAACUGGCUAAAUAGAACCAAGCUGUCUAAGUAUUAUUUUUCAGCACUUUAAGCAUUUGGGUUUCUUUUGGAUUGGUUCAGAGUGCGUGUAGAAGAAUAAGACAAAUGAGUUAUAUAUAAUAAUAUAAUUCGGCAGAAAUUUUUGGGGUAUGGUUGGAAAUACGAGACGAUUCAACUCUAAACUAGCUGCUAUUGGGAUGGUUGUCUAGACCAACAUCUUUCUCUCCCUAUUUUUCUCUUUUGGCUAGGAUGAUAAAUAUUUUAAUCCCAGCUCAUUAUGAGACCUUUUUCAAGGUCUGGGAAUUGAAUUAUCCAACAUUUAUCUGAGCCUUUAUUGAUUUGUCAUUUUCUAUUUUGGAAUUAUUGUGGAACUUCGUUAUUUCACGGUGACAUAAAUGAUGGAUGCAUUUGUUUUGAACUUUCUAAAUAGAACCGAGCUGUCUUAGGAUUAUUUUUCAGCUCUCCAAGCUUUUGGUCUUAUUUUGGUUUGGUUCAGAGUUUAUGUUAAAGAAUCAAAACAAAUUGAAUUAUAUAAUUGAGCAGAAAUUUUUGGGAUAAGGUUGGAAAUACUGGACAAUUCAACUCUAAGCUAGCUGCUAUUUGCAUGGUUUGUUUAGAGCAACAUCUUUUCUCCCUUAUUUUUUCUCUUUUGGCUUUUCAUCUCUCUCCCUCACUUUCUCUUUUGGCUCCUUAUCUUUUCUAUUUUGGCUAUGAUGACAAUGUUAUAAUCCCAGCUCUAUGAGACCUUAAGGUCUGGGAAUUGACUUUAUCCAACAUUUAUCUGAGCUUUUAUUGAUUUGUCAUUUUCUGUUUCGGAAUUAUGGUGGAACUUUGUUAUAUCAGGGCAACAUAGAUGAUGGAUGCUUUUGUUUUGAACUUUCCAAAUAGAACUAAGCUGUCUUGAGAUUAUUUUUCGGCUAGCAUUUGGUCUUAUUAUUGUUUGGUUCAGAGUUUAUAUAAUUCAGCAGAAAUUUUAGUCAUAAGGUUGGAAAUACUGGACAAUUCAACGCUUAUUUAGCUGCUGUCUGCAUGGUUUGUUUAGAGCAACAUCUUUCUCUCCCUUAUUUUCUCUUUUGGCUCCUCAUCUUUCUCUCCCUCACUUUUUCUCUUUUGGCUCUUUUUUUUUUUGGGCUAUGAUGACAAUGUUAUAAUCCCAGCUCUAUGAGACCUUUUUCAAGGUCUGGGAAUUGACUUUGUCCAGCAUUUGUCUGAGCUUUUAUUGAUUUGUGAUUUUCUAUUUUGGAAUUAUGGUGGAACUUUGUUUAUUAAGGGUGACAUAGAUGAUGGACGCAUUUGUUUUGAACUUUCUAAAUAGAACCAAGUUGUCUUAGGAUUAUUUUCAGCUCUCGGUGCAUUUGGUCUUGUUUUGGUUUGGUUCAGAGUUUAAAUAAAAGAAUCAAAACAAAUUGAAUUAUAUAAUUCAGCAGAAAUUUUAGGGAUAUGGUUGGAAAUGCUAGACGAUUCAACUCUAAGCUAGCUGCUAUUUGCAUGGUUGUUCAGACCAACAUCUUUCUCUCCCCCAUUUUUUUCUCUUUUGCCUCCUUCAUCUUUCUCUCCCUUACUUUUCCUCUUUUGGCUCCUUCUUCUUUCUCUCCCUCACUUUUUCUCUUUUGGCUCCUCAUUUUCUCUAUUUUGGCUAGGAUGACAAAUGUUAUAAUCCCAGCUCUAUGAGACCUUUUUCAAGGUCUGGGAAUUGACUUUAUCCAACAUUUAUCUGAGCUUUUAUUGAUUUGUCAUUUUCUUGUUUUGGAAUUAUUAUGGAACUUUGUUAUGUCAGAGUAACAUAGAUGAUGGAUGCAUUUGUCGUGAAUUCAACUUUUUUUUUUUUUUUUUCUGUAUUUGGAAGUUAAAGGUGAACUAAAAGAUGUUACUGUUUUACAGAAUAACUUGAUAGUUCCAUUCAAUGUGACACCUGUAAUUAGUGAGAGUUUAAAAUUUAUGGAAGCCAUUGUUUUCCCUUGGCAAGGUCAUGGUUGUUUCAUAACUUAAAUAUAAGAGUGUUUGAUGGCAUAUUUUCUCGUCUUGCUUUAAUAAUAUGUGUUCAUGAUUUUUCUCUGUUUGUUUUCAUGAUUGUAGGUUCUGCUAUCACUGGACCCAUUGGGAAAGAGUGCGCUGACUUGUGGCCAAGAAUUGCUAGUGCUGCCAAUGCUAUCGUCUGAGAUUUGAAGAAAUUCAAUUGAUAUCAUUUUGUAGUGUGUUUUUGACCUUAGGAUGUAUGAUGCCCUGGAAGUAUUAUUUUGCUUGUGUGCUUUUCGGCUAGGACAGGAUGGAAUAUGUUCAGAUUUCUUUACUAAAUUUAUGUUGGUAUUUUUCCCUCAGUUUUUUUUUUUAAUAUAUGAUUACUUCACUAGUUCACCAUCUUCAAA